rnacentral:rRNA from 1 species
GACGAACGCUGGCGGCGUGCUUAACACAUGCAAGUCGAACGGAAAGGCUCCAGCUUGCUGGAGUACUCGAGUGGCGAACGGGUGAGUAACACGUGGGUAAUCUGCCCUGCACUCUGGGAUAAGCCUGGGAAACUGGGUCUAAUACUGGAUAUGACCUUUCUCCUUAUGGGGUUUGGUGGAAAGUUUUUCGGUGUAGGAUGAGCCCGCGGCCUAUCAGCUUGUUGGUGGGGUGAUGGCCUACCAAGGCGACGACGGGUAGCCGGCCUGAGAGGGUGAUCGGCCACAUUGGGACUGCGAUACGGCCCAGACUCCUACGGGAGGCAGCAGUGGGGAAUAUUGCACAAUGGGCGGAAGCCUGAUGCAGCGACGCCGCGUGAGGGAUGACGGCCUGCGGGGUGUAAACCUCUUUCAGCAGGGACGAAGCGUAAGUGACGGUACCUGCAGAAGAAGCACCGGCUAACUAUGUG